UAAGAGCAUGAAGAAGAAAGCCAUGGAGUGGAAAAAACUAGCAGAGGAGGCCAAUGGUCCAAGUGGUUCAUCGUCUAUGAAUUUAGACAAAUUGGUGAAGGAAGUGCUUUUGUCGUGAAAAAAUAAAACUGCAUGCUAAACUAAAGACAGUUAAAGCUGAAGACGAAUGUAUUGUUCUCAAGGUGACAUGGUGGUUUCAUUGUAAUGAAGUGAAUUUUUAUUUUUGACCUUUUUGUGUGAAGAUUGAAGAAAGGGGCUGCAAGCCCUCAAAAUAAAUUACAAUAGGCGAGGAGAGGAAAGGCAGAACCAAUGAGAUCACGAUGCAAUACAGGGAGCAAUAUAUUGUUGAGGUAAACUCGAUCGUAUAUGAGUUGUGAAAACAUAUCAAGAACUAGCUGUGCAGCUGCUCUCUGCUGUCUGCUCGACAGGCAGUAUUUUCAUCAAUUUACUUUUAGAUUCACCCCCUUUUAAUGGCCGAAGAUUGAGAAAGUACUAUAAUUUUAUUUAUUAUAGUAAAAACUAAAAGAGCCAAGGUUUUCCUUUGGCAAUUUUCGAUGUUUAUUACUGCUCAUCCUCUUAUAUUUCACCUUGGAUUUCAACAGUGUUUUUUUCUUUUCUUUUUUAUAAACUUUUAAUUUGGUCUUCAAAAUUUUAUUUUGUAUAAUUGAGUUUUUUGAGUUCAAAAAAGGAACAAACGACACUGUUUAUUCUCUUUAUCUUUUACCCGGUUAAAAUUGGUUUGUAUUAAUCAAUCUUAGAAACAAUACAAAUAAAAUAGGAGGAGAUAAAACUCUCUCAACUCAACUCUACUAUCUCAAGCUUUCUCUAUUCUUCUCUGUUCUCUUUUCUCGAUGUUUCACGCAACUGUAACUCUCUUCUUCUCCUCACAAUUUAUCACGCACACAAACAGCUCAUAUACAUAUACAAUGGUGGGAGGUGAAGGGGCAUAAAUCAUGCCAUGAUUUAUGCCAUCCAUUUGUGUCCUCCACCAUAUGCAAAGUGGGAAAUUAGGUAUUCCCACUUGCACAUGGUGGGACAUUGUUGUCUCCAUAAUGCUAACAUCAACAAUUGAGAGCCUUUCUUCUGGUGUGCCUAUGCUUUGUUGGCGAUUCUUUGCAGAUAAGCAAACAAACUGUAGGUACACUUGCAAUGAGUGGGGCAUUGGAAUGGAGAUUGAUAGCAAUGCGGAAAGAGAUAAAGUGGAGAAGCUUGUGAGAGAGUUGAUGGAGGGAGAGAAAGGUAAGAGCAUGAAGAAGAAAGCCAUGGAGUGGAAAAAACUAGCAGAGGAGGCCAAUGGUCCAAGUGGUUCAUCGUCUAUGAAUUUAGACAAAUUGGUGAAGGAAGUGCUUUUGUCGUGAAAAAAUAAAACUGCAUGCUAAACUAAAGACAGUUAAAGCUGAAGACGAAUGUAUUGUUCUCAAGGUGACAUGGUGGUUUCAAUGUAAUGAAGUGCUUUUUUAUUUUUAACCUUUUUGUGUGAAGAUUGAAGAAAGGGG
rnacentral:lncRNA from 1 species